rnacentral:rRNA from 1 species
GUGCACCAGGCGAGAAACUUUACAAUGCGGGAAACCGUGAUAAGGGAACCUCGAGUGCUGAUGCCCAGCAUUGGCUGUCCACAUGCCUAAAAAGCAUGUGUUAGCAGGGGCCGGCAAGACCGGUGCCAGCCGCCGCGGUAACACCGGCGGCUCGAGUGGUAGCCAUUUUUAUGGGUCUAAAAGCGUCCGUAGCCGGCUUGGGUAAAGUCUUCUGGGGAAAAUCUGGCCGGCUCAACCGUCAGGCGUCCAGGAGAUACUGUCCAGGCUUGGGACCGGGAGAGGUGAGAGGUACCUCAGGGGUAGGGGUGAAAAUCUUGUGAUCC